UGUUAUGGAUUGCAUGGCCAUGAUGGAUUUUAUACAAUGGGAUUUAUACGGCUUUCAAAGAUAAAAUUCAGUCAGGUAAAUGGCUUUCUUCCUUUCUGCUAACCAUUAAAAUGUACAUCAAAGCGUUGAUCUUUGUACUGUUCAAUCUAGAGGCAAGUAAUUUGCUUUCAUGAGUUUAUAAAGCUCUGAAUAAACGCUUAUAAAUUGUCUUUAAUGACCCAGAUGUUGAUUUUGUCUGUAGAGUGUAGAGUGUAGAGUGUAGAGUGUAGAGUGUAGAUAUUAAACUUAGCAAACGCUGCUAGUGUUUCAGGCUGUACGAAUCUAUUUUAUCGAAUACAAUAUUGUACACAGUUAAAAUUCUCACUCGUGCAGUUUGUCAACAAGGUAUACCGGUAUUCGCAACAGGCAUGUACCAUUGAAUCGUUGAUCUCCAUGGUUGAUCUCAUAGUGGUCUGUACUAGCACGCUUGUCAACACGUGGAAGAAGCUCAAAUAGAAGAGGGUUACAUCUCAAUCUUUUGCCAUAACGACAGCAACAGGAUGCCUACUUUCAACCAUCUUUGUCAUUAUAUUUUAAUAAACCCAUUCUCUGUUUUGUAGGUGUUUCCGGGAUGCAGUUUGCGAAUGUCACAUAUGUUUGUUACAUGUAUGACAACUGCCAAAUGAGGCCACUUGGAAAGAUAAUUUAACCACAAUAUAGGGAGAAUCAAAUACUAAUACACAAACUGCAUAUACUUAUGCAUUCCACCAUGCAAUGAAUAAGUUGUUUAUAGAUUGAAAAACUGUGUAUCAUCCACAUCAACAGUGACAUGUGAAUGGAAUUAUUUAGACCAGUGAAAUUAUGCAUUACUAGAGAAAAUUCUGUAUUUUGGAAUGACAUUUUGUGUUUGCCAAAUGUGUAAUCUGUAUGCUGGCUGCAAAUUUAUUUGUAAUAAGUAGGAAUCAAUUACGUGACAAAGCUAGCUGCCAAGUCUCAUGGUUUACCAAUGAGUCUCCAGAUUUUGGGGGUG
rnacentral:lncRNA from 1 species